UACGUAGGGGGCAAGCGUUGCCCGGAUUUAUUGGGCGUAAAGAGCGUGUAGGCGGCCUGACAGGUCUGCUGUGAAAACUCGAGGCUCAACCUCGAGAUGUCGGCGGAAACCGUCUGGCUAGAGUCCGGAAGAGGAGAGUGGAAUUCCUGGUGUAGCGGUGAAAUGCGCAGAUAUCGGGAAGAACACCCGUGGCGAAGGCGGCUCUCUGGAACGCAACUGACGCUGAGACGCGAAAGCGUGGGGAGCAAACAGG
rnacentral:rRNA from 1 species